rnacentral:rRNA from 1 species
AUGAUGAAAAGAUUGUUGAGGGGCUCUUCGAGCCGAAGAUUGGCAGAUAAACAAAGUGAAGAGAAUAAGAAGCCCAAAUAUAAUCUUUCUUGCACCGCGGAAGUUCGUCCGUGUGAAUGGCCUUGUGAUGAGUUCUUGAGAGCAGUCGGGAUUCAUGAUGAUUUUUAUUAUUUGGCUAAGAAUGCGGGCCUCAUUGACUUCCUCCAUGACCAGCGCGAACAGUAUCUCCUCCUCAUUAAUAUUUUUGUGGAAAAUUUUCAUUUCCAUGCUAGGAGAUCAUCACCUUCGGUGGAUUUUUUAUUUGUAUGA